UUCGGUUCUAGCGGCGGACGGGUGAGUAACGCGUGGGAACGUGCCCUUUGCUACGGAAUAGUCCCGGGAAACUGGGUUUAAUACCGUAUGUGCCCCUUGGCCUUGGCGGUCUUGGGGGAAAGAUUUAUCGGCAAAGGAUCGGCCCGCGUUGGAUUAGGUAGUUGGUGGGGUAAUGGCUCACCAAGCCGACGAUCCAUAGCUGGUUUGAGAGGAUGAUCAGCCACACUGGGACUGAGACACGGCCCAGACUCCUACGGGAGGCAGCAGUGGGGAAUCUUAGACAAUGGGGGCAACCCUGAUCUAGCCAUGCCGCGUGAGUGAUGAAGGCCUUAGGGUUGUAAAGCUCUUUCAGCUGGGAAGAUAAUGACGGUACCAGCAGAAGAAGCCCCGGCUAACUCCGUGCCAGCAGCCGCGGUAAUACGGAGGGGGCUAGCGUUGUUCGGAAUUACUGGGCGUAAAGCGCACGUAGGCGGACUGGAAAGUCAGAGGUGAAAUCCCAGGGCUCAACCUUGGAACUGCCUUUGAAACUAUCGGUCUGGAGUUCGAGAGAGGUGAGUGGAAUUCCGAGUGUAGAGGUGAAA
rnacentral:rRNA from 1 species